UUUCCUUACACAAAGACUGACAAAGAACAUUGGGGUUUCUCUUGCAGGCUCUGCAAUUCUGUAUUCUCAACAGCAGACCAUUAUUCUCAACAGCCAUGGAAAAAUGGAGAAACUUGGGACAGAGAUAACCAAGGUACUAUGUCUUAUAAGUGAUGGAGCCAGGAUUCAACCCCAAACUGUCCAGCAAAUGGUAGUCUGCAAUCCAACAUGAAUUUAUUAAAAGCCAUGUUAUGUUGUAGAGAGGAGAGUGUAGGGAGCUGCGUGUAAAAUGACCUGGACUUAAGUCUUAGCUUUAUCACCAAUUAGUGACUCUAAAACCCAUUGAAGAAUUCUUUCUACUACUUCUCU
rnacentral:lncRNA from 1 species